rnacentral:lncRNA from 15 species
AUGGACUGUCGUUACCGCAAAGAGAAGAAACUGUACAUAGUCAGAAGAUACCAAACAGAUCCUGAUUUUCAGAGCAGACAAAGAAGGCACAUCAAGCAGAGAUACAACACCGACCCUGAUUUUAAGAAUCAGCAGAAUAAAUACAUGGCCCAGAGAUACAAGACAAAUUCUGAUGUCAGAACAAGUAAGAGGACAUACAUUAAAUCAAGAUAUGCAUGUGAGCCGGAAUACAGGCAAAAACAAAGAAAAAGUUUUCAAGAUAGGUACUACAGUGACCAAGCAUUCAGGCUGCAUCAUAUACGGCACUGCACCCAGCAGAAAAAGGACAAGUUCACUACAAACACUGCAUAUCAAAUACACCAUAAGUUGCAGUGUGCCCUAAGAAUCAAAAGGAAAUACAGAUGUACUAUAAUCAACUGCCACCAAACUGCAAUGCCCGAAGAUCAACCACAGCCUGUGAUCAAUCCUGUGAUGGAGACUGCAAUAUCUUCAUGCCGGGAGAAGACUAAGCAAGGACCUACUUAUGUCCAUACAGUGUGCCACCGGACUCUGUUCCCUGAUCAAGUGAUGUGUUGCAACAGGGCCAAAUACGUCAAAAACAGUGAUUUGGUUGCUGCUUGCUUAACUGGUAAAUAUGUUCAUGUCUGUGACAUUGGAUGCUGUACCACUUGCACCAUGCCACACGAAAGAAUGCAGGAGUGGAUCUGCUACAGCUGCAAUGACCACCUGAGAAGAGGAAACCUGCCAUCUAUUGCAGUGGCAAAUAAAUUGGAGCUGGCACCAAUUCUUUCGGAACUGGCUGAACUGAAUGUGCUUGAGAGACAGCUGCCAAGACCCUACCUUUUGCCAAAAUUGUUACGUUGCCAAAAGGACAGCAUAGAGCAGUACACGGUUGUACGUGUGCCUUCUGAGGUAGAAGCUACAGUGAACUGUCUCCCAAGACCGAGCAGUGAUGCCCAGCUGUCGCAAGUUAAAGUAAAACGACGCAUCAAGUACAAAGGACAUAAGUACUUCUAG